rnacentral:tRNA from 1 species
GCUAGCUUAAUAUGUAGAGUAUCGGUGUGAAGUUCCGGAGGUACAAAGUUUUUGUGGCA